CCUACGGGAGGCAGCAGUGGGGAAUAUUGGACAAUGGGCGAAAGCCUGAUCCAGCAAUGCCGCGUGAGUGAUGAAGGCCUUAGGGUCGUAAAGCUCUUUUACCCGGGAUGAUAAUGACAGUACCGGGAGAAUAAGCCCCGGCUAACUCCGUGCCAGCAGCCGCGGUAAUACGGAGGGGGCUAGCGUUGUUCGGAAUUACUGGGCGUAAAGCGUGCGUAGGCGGUUAUUCAAGUCAGAGGUGAAAGCCCGGGGCUCAACCCCGGAACGGCCUUUGAAACUAGGUAGCUAGAAUCUUGGAGAGGUCAGUGGAAUUCCGAGUGUAGAGGUGAAAUUCGUAGAUAUUCGGAAGAACACCAGUGGCGAAGGCGACUGACUGGACAAGUAUUGACGCUGAGGCACGAAAGCGUGGGGAGCAAACAGGAUUAGAUACCCUGGUAGUCCACGCCGUAAACGAUGAUAACUAGCUGUUCGGGUACUUGGUAUCUGAGUGGCGCAGCUAACGCAUUAAGUUAUCCGCCUGGGGAGUACGGUCGCAAGNUUAAAACUCAAAUGAAUUGACGG
rnacentral:rRNA from 1 species